CAUUUGUAUAGGGCAGCUGAUCUUCUCAUUGGUUUCAUUGGGGUUGUAUGCAAGGUCUCAAAAGGUCUGUUGUUCCUGGACGGUGCGUGUGGUAUAAUCCUAUCUCCUCCAACUUUUCUUUUGUUACCAUGCUUUUGUCAUUAUUCACAGUAAUUUCUACUUGCGCCUCUUGCCAUGUGCUCCACCAUUCCUCUCCUGUUCCAGGUCCGCAAUGAUUUGUUUAUUUAAAUCUUUGUUCUCCACUCACUGCCUUAGAUAGCUGCAGAUGAGGAUGUACGAAGGAUUUGGCCGUGAACUCAAUGUGACCAUUGGAUUGAAGUUGAAGGGGGCAUUGCAAAGAUAUGAAGGAAUGGCCUUUCGUUCAGAACCUGGUCAGCUACAUAGCUUCUGGUCGUACAUGUUUCUGUUGCAGCGGCCCAGUCAUGCGGUGAAGAAUGGCAGACGUUGAGGAUUGUGUCAGCUGAUUUUCUAAUUCAUGUUUAGCUCAUGGAUUUUCUCAUUUAUCUCUCUAACUUCCAUUUACAGAAGGACGUGCAUUAUCAGCUCUUAGUAUUGUCUUAAUAACCGUUGAUAGGAAUGGCAACUAUGUUGAGAUGUGGUACACCAUUGAAUGACUUUUGGUCCAGAAUGAAAAAUAUAGGCAUGAUUAUUGUAAUUUUGUUGCUGCUAAUUUCUUUCAAACGAACCAUGGCUUCUAAUCCACAAAUCAACACUCCCAAGUCGAUAGCAGAGGCAUAGAUGGUUCUGAGCCAAUCUAAUCUAAGAACCUGUAUGUCCUCCUUGAUCUAGAUUUUCUAUUAUUGGAGUUCUAUCAGAAAACAUAUUGAGGCAUUGGAAGAAAUUGACAUGGUGUACAAGAAGGAGCUGGCUUUACAGUCUGGCAUUAAGCACUGGGGAGGAAUUCCUUCUUUAGGUGGUGAACUCACAUUCAUUUCAGAUCAUGUGGAUGUUACCAAAAUCUUGCCUUAUGUUGCAGUUUCCAACCGCAGAGGCUCGGUAGGUGUCUACUACACCACAGGACAUGCAAAUGCAUUCUCCUCUAUUUCUGCAUUCAUGUUUUACAUCUUACUUGAUCAUGUCGGCAUCCAGUAUUCUUAUAUAGUUAUAUGCAUGUGGUUUCCUCAACCUGGAGUUAAAUACAGGCUUGUCACUGAAUGAGCUUAUAUCACUCUUUGUGUCAUUGAAUAAGCUUAUAUCACUCAAAAGUCAAAACAUACUGGUGCAAACGAGCAAGGCUUUGUUUAAUAGAAGCAUCAAGACCAAAUAUUGAAUUAGGGUCGGCAUAACAUAAUAUUAAAAUUGUUCAGACAUAUGUAACCUACAGAAACAUGCCCUCGAUCGAACAUAGUGGUGUAUGUAACCUCCAUUAUUUAUGUCAUAAUGCAUGUUUCCACUCACCAUGAGAAUGUUAGUAUUAAAUAGACAAUUUGGGAUCCUUGCUGAUAGUCAAUGAUGAUAAUUGGUAAUGGCAUCCGUUUUAUGUAACCUCCAUUAUGUAUUUCAGUAUAUUUGCUAAGUUACUUCUAAGUCCGUUUGACUCAUCAUAUUUAGAUACUGUGUCUGCACUUUUGGAAGUGAUGGCGCAGCUGAAGCAGAAUUCAUGUGGUUUGAUAAAGCUGCAAGGAGUAUUGUUGGCAAGCCACUUAUGGCCUUGAUCUAGCACAAGUACCCCGGUUUUACAAGCGUGCAUGAUCUUGCCCAGAUAGGAGGUGGCGAUGUAACCAUGCCUAUUGAGAUUUCCCGCGUUGUUGCCCAGAAGUAUGUGCUUGUUGUUUCUAUCUCGAACAAGAGCUUCUAGCCUACAAGCACCCAGAUCUGAGCCAGUGAAGGCACUGCUGCCCGUGCGACGCAUCAUCGUUGUAAUGGUGAAUAGCAUAUGAAGCCUCCUAAUUUGUAGCGGUGCAAGUUGUAGCCUUUUUGAAGUGGAGCAGCUUUGUCUGGUUGGCCUUCAAUUAUUUGUGCGUUGCUUGUGAUCCUACUAGCUUAGUGUGCUUUGGUUGUUUACUUGUUUCCUGUUUAUAUCCCCUACAUGCACUAACCUGUUUAUGUAGCACUAAUGGUAUUUAUUUUAUCACAGGUUGGAAUUGCUUUGUCAAAUCCUUACCUUUCUUUUGCAGAGGCACUGAAUGGUUUGGCUGGUCCACAACAGUCUCAGCAAUGCAUCACUUCUCCAGGUGAAAAAAUGAUGGAAACAAAGGCUCUGUUUAAAUUUGUUGUCCUUUUAUAUCUUCUAGCCUUCAUCAUACAUUCUUCUUAUCCAAUUGUGAGUUUAAGUAGUUACACCUAUCAUUGUAAGCCUGUAGGAAGCAAAUAUUUUCAUGUGAAUUUUAUUUCUUUGUGAUGGUUUUACCAGAAUGAAACCAUAGCCACUAUUACAUCAUGUUAUUUAUCUUACCGUGCCGUUGUAUCUGUAUGCCCUGUUUACGUCUUUUUGACAUUCCCAGUUUUGUUUUUCUAUGGUAUAUAUUUGACUCCUUUCCAUGCCAUUUGGCUCUGAAUCUGUCCUCAUGGUCAUGUCUACUGGUAUAUAGUGCACUCGAAGCUAUAUAUAUUGUUAUCUACAGACCGUGUAUCAU